UACGGAGGGUGCGAGCGUUAAUCGGAGUUACUGGGCGUAAAGGGCGCGUAGGCGGAUAUAAGAGUGUGAUGUGAAAGCCCCGGGCUUAACCUGGGAAGUGCAUCGCAAACGUUGUAUCUGGAGUAGAUGAGAGGGUGGCGGAAUUUCCGGUGUAGCGGUGAAAUGCGUAGAGAUCGGAAGGAACGUCGAUGGCGAAGGCAGCCACCUGGCAUAAUACUGACGCUGAGGCGCGAAAGCGUGGGGAGCGAACAGG
rnacentral:rRNA from 1 species